UUAUAAAAAUAGUUAUUUAAAUAAUUUGAAACGUUUUAAAAAUGGGUUUUUGCAGGAUUGAGAAACAAUUGCUAAAAGUUUGAAGGAAUUUGAUCAUCUGCGUUUAAAGAAGGCAUGUGAAGGGUCAUGAACAGUCUUCUUCCGACUGGGCGAACCGUCCUCCAUUCCUUUUCUCGUCUCGCUAGUUGAUAGAUCGGAUCAAGCCCAAUCUCGUAAAUCUCUAAGUUUUUCUUCGGUUAACUCAAACCGAAAUGAGAGCCAAGUGGAGGAAGAAGAGAAUGCGCAGGUUGAAGAGGAAAAGGAGGAAGAUGAGGGCGAGGUCCAAGUAGACGUCUUUAAAGUUGGAAUGAUUUUGCAACACUUUUAUUUUCAAGUUAUUUGAUCAGCAGCUCCUCAACAGACAUGAAGCAUACAUUUUUUGUAAAUUUCUAAUUUACUGACGAUUAAAAAUUGUUCCAUACUUCAAAAUA